UCCUACGGGAGGCAGCAGUGGGGAAUAUUGGACAAUGGGGGCAACCCUGAUCCAGCCAUGCCGCGUGUGUGAAGAAGGCCCUCGGGUUGUAAAGCACUUUCAGCGAGGAAGAACGCCUAGCGGUUAAUACCCGCUAGGAAAGACAUCACUCGCAGAAGAAGCACCGGCUAACUCCGUGCCAGCAGCCGCGGUAAUACGGAGGGUGCAAGCGUUAAUCGGAAUUACUGGGCGUAAAGCGCGCGUAGGUGGCUUGAUAAGCCGGUUGUGAAAGCCCCGGGCUCAACCUGGGAACGGCAUCCGGAACUGUCAAGCUAGAGUGCAGGAGAGGAAGGUAGAAUUCCCGGUGUAGCGGUGAAAUGCGUAGAGAUCGGGAGGAAUACCGGUGGCGAAGGCGGCCUUCUGGACUGACACUGACACUGAGGUGCGAAAGCGUGGGUAGCAAACAGGAUUAGAUACCCUGGUAGUCCACGCCGUAAACGAUGUCGACCAGCCGUUGGGUGCCUAGCGCACUUUGUGGCGAAGUUAACGCGAUAAGUCGACCGCCUGGGGAGUACGGCCGCAAGGUUAAAACUCAAAUGAAUUGACGG
rnacentral:rRNA from 1 species